rnacentral:misc_RNA from 1 species
GAUGAAGAACGUAGCGAAAUGCGAUAAGUAAUGUAAAUUGCAGAAUUCAGUGAAUCAUCGAAUCUUUGAACGCACAUUGCGCCCGCCAGUAUUCUGGCGAGCAUGCCUGUUCGAGCGUCAUUUCAACCAUCAAGCCCCAGGCUUGUGUUGGAGCCCUGCGGCUGCCGCAGCCUCCCAAAACCAGUGGCGGGCUCGCUAUCACACCGAGUGCAGUAGUUUACUCUUCGCUCAGGGCGUGUGGCGGGUGCUAGCCGUGAAACCCCAAACUUCUCAAGGUUGACCUCGGAUCAGGUAGGAAUACCCGCUGAACUUAAGCAUAUCAAUAAGCGGAGGA